rnacentral:rRNA from 1 species
GCCCAGACUCCUACGGGAGGCAGCAGUGGGGAAUAUUGCACAAUGGGGGAAACCCUGAUGCAGCGACGCCGCGUGGAGGAAGAAGGUCUUCGGAUUGUAAACUCCUGUCCUUGGGGACGAUAAUGACGGUACCCAAGGAGGAAGCACCGGCUAAAUACGUGCCAGCAGCCGCGGUAAUACGUAUGGUGCAAGCGUUAUCCGGAUUUACUGGGUGUAAAGGGAGCGCAGGCGGCGCGUUAAGCCUGGUGUGAAAGCCCGCGGCCCAACCGCGGGACUGCAUUGGGAACUGGCGCGCUGGAGUGCCGGAGGGGUAGGCGGAAUCCCUAGUGUAGCGGUGAAAUGCGUAGAUAUUAGGAGGAACACCAGUGGCGAAGGCGGCCUACUGGACGGUGACUGACGCUGAGGCUCGAAAGCGUGGGGAGCAAACAGGAUUAGAUACCCCGGUAGUC